rnacentral:rRNA from 1 species
AUUCCAGCUCCAAUAGCGUAUAUUAACGUUGUUGCAGUUAAAAAGCUCGUAGUUGGAUUUGUGGUUUGUUGCGCGGUCCCAAUGUUAUGUUGGGUGCUGUUGCGAGGAGCCAUCCUUGGGUGGAAUCUGUGUGGCAUUAGGUUGUCGCGCAGGGGAUGCCCAUCGUUUACUGUGAAAAAAUUAGAGUGUUCAAAGCAGGCUUAUGCCGUUGAAUAUAUUAGCAUGGAAUAAUGAGAUAGGACCUUGGUACUAUUUUGUUGGUUUGCGCACCGAGGUAAUGAUUAAUAGGGACAGUUGGGGGUAUUCGUAUUCCAUUGUCAGAGGUGAAAUUCUUGGAUUUUUGGAAGACGAACUACUGCGAAAGCAUUUACCAAGGAUGUUUUC